rnacentral:lncRNA from 1 species
UAUAUGAUGCUGACGCAAGUUUUACAUGUUAUUUGUGUUGGAACAGUUUUGUGAUAAAGGUAUGAAAUAGAAAGAUUAAAAAGGCUUCAAGGCGUGUAGCAAUGCCACUUUCCUUAAGGCUUAAUCCGUCCCCACCGUUCUAACAAUUUGGUGUGCACCGGGUCAACGAACAACCUUCCAGGAUACAAUGAAGCGUAAACCUCAACUGCGUUUGCACACACGAAGUCGAGCCUUUGAGCACUCACUCGAUUAAGUUGUCAAAAGAAAUAGAAUAUAAAACAAGAAUGGAAUUAUUAUGAAUGAAGACUUCAACUCUUCAACUGUUUUCUGUCUGUCUCCUUCUGCAACCAAUGCUAUGGACUUAUAUAGGCCACGAACGGGUGCUUCAUGAAGUAACUAUUCACGAAAGGGUGUUUCGUGAAGUGACCUUUCGAUUGUGACUUUUCAUUUGAUCAUAACUACCAAAUAGUUAUAUGAAUCAAGUUCAAUGAAUAUAACCAUUGAUUCCAACGGGCAUAUGUACGAAGAGACACACUAUAAAGAUGUGUCUUUUCAUAUCAUAUUCUUUCACUAAAAGUCACAUCCUUUCACUUUAAGAGUCAUACCCUUUGAUUAGAGUUGCAUCCACUCACUAAGGGUUGCAUCCAUUCACUAAGAGUUGCAUCCAUUCACUAAGGAUUGCAUCCUUUCACGAAGAAUCACAUCCAUUCACUAAAAACAAUAAACAAAAUAUAUUAUUUUAAAAUUUUCCUUACAAUUUGAGAUUUGAUCAAAUGAAAUACAAGCAUGUUAGGCUACGCUUAGGCCCCACUCAUUUAUUAAAGAAGAUAACUACAUUAUGACUAUUCGUAAGCUACGUAUGUGAGAUAUAAUUGAUGUAUGAGAUGAUGUUCAGAAUCUUCUUUUUGGUAGACGUGUAUUUUUUUUAUAGGCGCAUAGUCGUAGUUGUCGGAAUAACUCCCCUAAUUCUCGACCCUCUUUUCUCAACUGCUUCCUAAUUUCUCGUCCUCGAUCAUGUUCAUUCGAAUUUCGAAUGACUCAAUUCAAAUGACUGUCUUUUUCUCGCCAAAAUUGGUGUAUUGAGCGUGAUAUCGAAAUCAAAACCAAUAUACUUUUCAGCAUAACCUUUUACGAAACUCAGGCUCUACGCCGAAAUCUCCUUCGCCGCUCCGUCCCUUUCAGAACUCAUUUUUUGUGCCAAC